UGAGCCACCGGGCCCAGCCAGAAAAUUAUAAACACGCACAAACUCUCAAGUGGCCUAAUUCCCUCUCAUCAAACCAAUCACAAUACAAAUAAAAGAGAAUAACUUAUAUUAGUUUUUGUACAAACAAAAAAGACUGAUAAAUUGUGAAUGAUGCAUGAUUUUUAAUUACAAGUAAACUGGGCAUAUGCUUCUGCAUUAUUUAAAGCUAAAGGGUGAUCAGUGGAAAUUUUCUUCUGUUAGUACUUUAAUACUUUUUAUAUUUAUCGGCUCACUACAACCUAUGCCUCCCAGGUUCAAGCGAUUCUCCUGUCUCAGCCACCUGAGUAGCUGAGACUACAGGACGCACUACCAUGUCCGGUUAAUUUUGUAUUUUUAAUAGAGACGGGGUUUCACUGUGUUGGCCAUGCUGGUCUUGAACUCCUGACCUCAACCGAUCCACCUGCCUUGGCCUCCCAAAGUGCUGGGAUUACAAGCAUGAGCCACCGCGCCCAGCCUUCUUAUAAUUGUUAUUAUUUAAAUCUCUUUUGCUCUCUCCUUCAAGAGAGACCUCAUCUCAUUCAGUUGCAUCCAUUUAUUUAUUCAUCUUCUGCCUCCUGAGCUCGAGAGAUCCUCCUGCAUGAGUCUUCCAAGUAGCUGGGACUACAGGCUCACACCACCAUGCUUGGCUAAUUUUUGUAGGUUUUGGAGAGACAGGCUCUUGCCAUGUUGCCUAGGCUGGUCUCAAACUCCUGGGCUCAGAUGAUCC
rnacentral:lncRNA from 10 species